rnacentral:rRNA from 1 species
AUUGAACGCUGGCGGCAGGCCUAACACAUGCAAGUCGGACGGUAGCACAGAGGAGCUUGCUCCUCGGGUGACGAGUGGCGGACGGGUGAGUAAUGUCUGGGGAUCUGCCCGAUAGAGGGGGAUAACCACUGGAAACGGUGGCUAAUACCGCAUAACGUCGCAAGACCAAAGAGGGGGACCUUCGGGCCUCUCACUAUCGGAUGAACCCAGAUGGGAUUAGCUGGUAGGCGGGGUAAUGGCCCACCUAGGCGACGAUCCCUAGCUGGUCUGAGAGGAUGACCAGCCACACUGGAACUGAGACACGGUCCAGACUCCUACGGGAGGCAGCAGUGGGGAAUAUUGCACAAUGGGCGCAAGCCUGAUGCAGCCAUGCCGCGUGUAUGAAGAAGGCCUUCGGGUUGUAAAGUACUUUCAGCGGGGAGGAAGGCGAUAAGGUUAAUAACCUUGUCGAUUGACGUUACCCGCAGAAGAAGCACCGGCUAACUCCGUGCCAGCCGCCGCCGUAA